rnacentral:lncRNA from 1 species
UGACAUCACAAUGUAUUUGUGCUGAGGCUGUGAACUUCCUUGAUUAGAAACUCUGUUUCCUGCUGGGAUCUUCUCCAACACCAAGACAUCCUGGUCAUGUUCUUUGAGUCUUACAGUAUUUGCUUCCACGUCCCUAAGGAUUCUGUUGAAGUCCUCUUUGUCUACUCUCAAGAAGUGGCAGUUGUCUUCACGUAGAACAAUAGAUGCUGCUCUGGGAGCAUCAUUCACAAGUGCUAGCUUGCCAAAAUCAUCUCCUUCAUG